CUUUUUUUUUAUCUUAUCAGUAAAUCAAAUUGCAAAUAGGAAAAGAGAGAGAAAAGAAAAUUUCACUCACACCACGCGCCGCCUUCCUCCUUCACCUGCGAGCUUCCCCAAACCCUCUCCAUCGCUUGUUUCUCUUCACUUUCUCGCUCUCUCUUUUUCUUCAUCAAUGAAAGAUUGAUUUCGCUACUGGCCUGGGUUAACUCAUGUAACCAUGGCCAUCGCUGAUCACCAUCACCACCACCGUAAGCAUUGACGAUAGCCGCCAUCCAUCAUCCUACUCCUUGGACUUCGUUUCCAUCCGAUCCGCCUCAGAUCUGCAUCUCUAUCAUCGUUUGUUCAUCUCAGAUCUACGUCGCCAGGGUAUUCCAGCCACCGUUGCUGCUCUUGUCACAACACCACACCUCCGCCGCUUGCACCGCCAUCAUUCUUGCACGUAAACACACAAGAUCGUCGCCGUCGCCACCAUCAAUUGUUUCAGAUGAGGUUUGCACUGCAUGUGAUUUCAACCGUCCUGGAAAGACAUGUCUAUGCAAACUUGAGUGGGUUUGGCAUGGAGAAACAUUCAUGGCAAAGAUAAGUGACUAUUAUCACAGGCAUACAAGCGUGUUCUUAACAAACUAGUUACAGAACUCCAUGAAGCAGGAAUCUGCAUGCGUGAAAAUCCAUUUUAUGUUGACAUUGUUCGCAGGGGUUUUAGAUGAUACUCCAUGGAAAUGGCUGGAGUAGUCACAUAUACAGGAGAAAAAAUAAUUCAGAAUGCAUGCCUGCUUGCUGGUAGAAAAAAUAGGGAAACCACUUGAACUUGAUACUGAUGGUAUCUGGUGUGCACUUCCUGGGUCUUUUCCAGAAAAUUUUACUUCUAAAACAAAAUUCUUGGAUGGCAACAAGUUGCUGGAAAAAUUGGAAUGCAACGUUGUGCUGCAUCAGGCCAAUGGCUAAAUGAGAGAAUUACUCUCUCAAGAUAUGCCCGUGUAAGCACUAUAAAUCCUUGGCAUAUUUGGAAAAGCUACAAAAGAAAUAGAUGAUUCAUUUUUACUGCUCAUUGUCAGUUUAGGAAUACUUGACAAUCUAAAUUUGUUAAUUAAGUCACGAGUAAAAACUCAAUAAAACUUGAUGCACAUCGUUAACCUAUUGAUUGGUUAAUUGUUCUUCAAGUGGAAAUAAUUUAUUGAGAAGUUCUGUUUUGCAACUUUCACAAUUGCAUUUUGUUUUUAUAUGCACAUGAAUUUCUUUUGCAGGUACCACUUAGAAAUUUUGAACUUGACUGGCUUAUAUUUACAGUAGAUACCUUCUUCUUAAGAGCUUUGUGUGAUAGUGAACAAGUUCCGAUUUUAAGUUUAUGUAUAUGAAUGUUAUCUGCAAACUGAAACUUCAUGACUUACUGGUUCAUCCUUGAUUGUAUUGUUUGAUGAAGAGACAUGUUUUCUUGAUGAGGGAUCAUUAUGAUUACUAUUCAAGAAGAAACUUGUUUCCAAGUACCUCAGGCACCUAUUUUUCAUUCCAGAAUGAGACUUUGAAUGUUAACUAUACUACUACAUUUUUUUCUUUUAAUUUUUGCGGAGUGAGGGAAGGUGGGAGGAGGAUGAAGUAACUGCUAUUUAUGAUAUAAUAACCAAUAGUAUUCAUUUUAAUUUGUUAAAUCUGCUAUAUUGUCGGGGGAGCAUCUGCAAGUUUUAAAUUUUAAGUCAACUUGUUCAACUGAUCGAUCCUUAUUUCAUUUGCCAGGGUUCAAGGGACCAUUUCCUUCUUUGCUCGAAACUGAUGGGUCAUGCAAAAGGUGUUUGUACUGUUGUUGGCAGAGUUCCGCAAGUUGGGUGCAACAAUUGUAUUUAAAAUAAUGUAUUCUUAAUUUUCUGUGAUUAAUGAUACUACUUAUUGGAAAUGCUUGUAACAACCCUUCAUGUCAUGGCAAUGCUUCUUAGGAUCUCUCACUGGGAUUAGUUUAUAGCCUAACUUCAUGUAACAUAGUUAUAGGUUUAGGUUUGUAGCAUUUUUUGUUGUUUAGAUUUGUAACAUGUUUUAUUACUUUUUAAGAGAAAUUUGUGUAUCAAUAUUUUGAGUUUAAUGAAAUAUCUCAUUUUGUAGU